GUGCCAGCAGCCGCGGUAAUACGAAGGGUGCAAGCGUUACUCGGAAUUACUGGGCGUAAAGCGUGCGUAGGUGGUUUGUUAAGUCCGAUGUGAAAGCCCUGGGCUCAACCUGGGAAUGGCAUUGGAUACUGGCAGGCUAGAGUGCGGUAGAGGGGUGUGGAAUUCCCGGUGUAGCAGUGAAAUGCGUAGAUAUCGGGAGGAACAUCUGUGGCGAAGGCGACACCCUGGACCAGCACUGACACUGAGGCACGAAAGCGUGGGGAGCAAACAGGAUUAGAAACCCCUGUAGUCC
rnacentral:rRNA from 1 species